AAGUGAGGACAGGUAGUAGCUCUGGUAGAGCGAGGGACUGAAAAUCCUUCUGUCUGCGGUUCGAAUCCGGACUCACUUCUAGCUCUGGCACAAGUUCCUCAUCCUUAGUUGUUUGAUGAGCCUGCGUAGUAUUAGGUAGUUGGUUAGGUAAAGGCUGACCAAGCCGAUGAUGCUUAGCCGGUUAGAGCAAAGGACUUGAAAUCCUUAGAGCAAAGCCAGGGACUUGAAAUCCUUUUUGUGUCAGCUCUUUGGAAGUGCCUUUUCCUUUACUUCAGUAAGGAGUCUCAAAAUAGGAAAUACCUAGCUAGCAAAGUAAGCAAUAACGGAAGGUAACGAAUUCUCCGUUUCGAUAUUAACAAUCCGGAUCUAGGGAAAGUAGGUUCCCGCAUCACGUAAAUUUCAUUUCUUUUGGGAAAAUAAUACAUAAACCUUUUGAGUCACAGCCACCUCAGCACAAGUUACUCGAGUAGCACAGAAGCCAUCAUCAAUAGCUUGCUUGCCUGGGAGCUCAACCACGAAUUCUCUGUCUUCUAACCUUUCUAUCACUUGAGGAUUAUCUACGCAAUUCGUAAAUGAUCAAACUAGAUAGUCCCUUAUCUUACUGGCCAGUAGUAGAAGGGGAUCUUGAAUCAAAGAGUUCCUGUCCAACAAGCAAGGAAUGUCAGUCAUAAAUAAUGAAAUCCAUAUAACUCUACUCCGGGUUGUGAGAACAUCGUGCCUGUUGCGAUUGUGUGGCUUUCCGCAUGGUUGGAGACCCCCUAUGAACAAACAAAACAGUAGGGUGGUGUAGGAGAACCCCGACUCCCUAAUGCAAGAUAGAGCUCUUAGGGUGCGUUUCGUCUUUGUCAGGAAGAAAAAAGUGGCAAGAGGAGUGUAUCCAUACCCGUACCGAAGAGAUCUUGGGAAGGCAUCUCUAUAGAUUUAGUAGUUGGACUACCAAAGACCCAGACAGCUUCAAGGUUAGGUCUUCAGUGUUAGGUCAGUUCGAGGUCAGUUGUUCCCUCCGUACUGUUGCUAGAGAGCUGCUUUCCAUCUAUCUUCCUACAUGAAAGGAUCUAAGUCUAUCCAAAUAAAAUAGCCCAGAAAAUGACAGCCAUCAAAAGGCGCGCACCCAUAUAGCCUCGGCCUGUCCAAAUGAUGUUCAGCGGUCUCUACCCAAGUAGCUGUGGCCCAUGAUCCAAAGGACCCGCAACCAGUCAAUCAUGCUAUCCUUACCUUCCAACCAAUCGGCCAAUCACGCUAUCCUUACCUUCCAACCAAUCGGCCAAUCACGCUAUCUCCUUACCUUUCAACCAACCCCUUCGAUUCCGCUUCUGCAGCAGUAUAUAAUCUCGGUCCCUUACCUUGAUGCCUACAGCUCAAUUUGUUUUCCAGUGAUGGCAAGAAUCCGAUCCGCGAAAUACUGCUUUUUCUUUUUUCUUGUGUUGUUUCUGAAUGGCAUCAUAGCUACAC
rnacentral:lncRNA from 1 species